AUGCAGCAGCCGGACCUCGUCGGCACAGGGGGAGAUGACGAGUACGAGUACGCGAUGUUGGAAACGCUCGUGGCGCGGGGGGAGUCCGCCCCGGUGGGAGCGCCUCGCUUCGACGGCAAAGACUUUGAAACAUGGCAGGCUCUGAUGAAGAUCCGCUUGCAGGCCUAUAGCCUUCUUGUGUGGGACAUUGUGGAAACCGGUUUCUCUUGUGUGGAUGAAGCAAAUCCAUCGGCUCUCGAGUUGAGGAGCAUCCACUGCAAUGCCCAAGCCAUGAACGCCAUAUACUGUGCCCUGAGUGAUGAUUAUCUCUUUUGUUACGUUGCCUUUGUUAUCCUAUAUCAAUCUACUGGAAAGUUGUUUUAUGUGCUCAUAUCAUGA
rnacentral:rRNA from 1 species